UCGUUUAUAAAAUUUCAAUGGGAAAAAAUUGAGAUUGGCGUCCAGAUUUAGAUCAUUCUUCUCUUCCUCUCUCUCUUACAAAUUUUAGAUCAUUCUUCUUUUCCUCUCUCUCCCGUUCUCACAGAGAAUCAGUCACCACUAAACCUCACCGCAGUCACUCACCACCAUCGCUCAACGUACGUCGCACAUCGCCACCGCUAUUGCCGCAAUACAAACAAGUUCCUUCUCUCUCUCUCUCUCUCUCUCUCCCUUCCUCUAUUUUCCCAUUUCCCACUCUUGCUCUAGGGUUUUAUAUGAUUUAUUGAGUUUAAUUUAUUGUUUUAGUAAUCUACUUCCUCAAGAUCGACAUUGAUUCCAAUGCAAAUGACAACAAAUAUUUCAUUCUCAAUCAGGAUUUCUUCUGGAACUUAGGAAACUUUUUGACAAUCUUGAUCAAUCAUUUCAAAAAUGAUCUGAAACCAAAGAAUGAAGACAUAGAGUUAGGUUGAUGAAUUAAGGAAGUUUAUGAAAGAGUAUGUGAGAAAUCAAUUUUCACCAUCAAACUUGAGACGCUCUAAUGGCAAAUGUACAAUGAUUGUUUACCUCUUCUUAUUCACUUCAAGAUGCAAGUGAGUCUGUCUCAUAUACAAUUAUGAGUGUGAAUCUCAUUGUUUUGUGUUUAUAAAUCUCAUUGUUUUGUAUUUAUGAGUGAAAAAAUAAGAUAAAAAAUAAUUAUACGUGGUGCAUUGGUAGCAGGAGCUCGAGACAUGCCAUUUGACUCCUACAACUAUGCUAUUGUUUUUACCUCCGACUAUCUACACAACAAUAUAUCUUGCUUCUUUAGCUCGCAUUGGUACAUUUAUUUUUUAUUUUUUUAAACAUCUUUCCAUUUCUCAUUGAUAUGUGAGGCAUUUCAUAUCUCGCGCUGAUAUGUUUUCUCAAUCUUCUCAAGAAAGUCAAGUGGCCUCAAUAGCUUUGUCCUCAUAUGGUACAAUGGUAAGAUAAUAGGCCUCCAACAGAAUCACAUCUUUCAAGUUCUAAAUCUUUCUACAGAAAAUGAAAUUUACUGGUCUCCUUAAGCUUAAAUAACUCAGUCGUACAACUGUUUGUUUAAUUGAAUUUUUUGAAGGAUUCCUCUGUGGACCAAUUACCAUGGUAAUUUGUAGCCAUUUGGCAUGGUAGUGAAUAUAUUUUUUGUGUAUGGAGGACAUGAUUUUCGUUUUAUUUUUUUCUUUUGUAUGCAAUUAUUAUUUUAGGUUGGAAAUCUUGGUUUGUAUGAAAUUUGACAUUAAAAGUUAUUCAUUUUUUUUAUGGUUAUAAGUAAAAUGGAUGCAAAUUUUGUAAUGAUUGAUAAGAUAUGUAUUGUUUUGAUUAUAUAUAUGGUACAAGUCGCAUGGAAUA